GACGAACGCUGGCGGCGUGCUUAACACAUGCAAGUCGAACGGAAAGGCCCUGCUUGGGUGGGGUGCUCGAGUGGCGAACGUGAGAGUAACACGUGAGUAACCUGCCCUUGACUUUGGGAUAACUUCAGGAAACUGGGGCUAAUACCGGAUAGGAGCUCCUGCUGCAUGGGGGGGGUUGGAAAGUGUCGGCGGUUGGGGAUGGACUCGCGGCUUAUCAGCGUGUUGGUGGGGUAGUGGCUUACCAAGGCUUUGACGGGUAGCCGGCCGGAGAGGGUGACCGGGCACAUUGGGACUGAGAUACGGCCCAGACUCCUACGGGAGGCAGCAGGGGGGAAUCUUGCACAAUGGGCGGAAGCCUGAUGCGGCAACGCCGCGUGCGGGAUGACUGCCUUCGGGUUGUAAUCCGCUUUCGCCUGUGACGAAGCGUGAGUGACGGUAAUGGGUAAAGAAGCACCGGCUAACUACGUG
rnacentral:rRNA from 1 species